ACUAUUUUAGUAUAAUUAAUUAUAUUAGCUUUUCGUGCUAAUGGUACUAAUCUAUUUAGUAAAUAGUU
rnacentral:tRNA from 4 species